CAGCCGCCACGGGAAUACGUAGGGUGCGAGCGUUAAUCGGAAUUACUGGGCGUAAAGCGUGCGCAGGCGGUUCGUUAAGACAGAUAUGAAAUCCCCGGGCUUAACCUGGGAACUGCAUUUGUGACUGGCGAGCUAGAGUAUGGCAGAGGGGGGUAGAAUUCCACGUGUAGCAGUGAAAUGCGUAGAGAUGUGGAGGAAUACCGAUGGCGAAGGCAGCCCCCUGGGCCAAUACUGACGCUCAUGCACGAAAGCGUGGGGAGCAAACAGGAUUAGAUACCCCCGUAGUCCCUGUCUCUUAUAA
rnacentral:rRNA from 1 species